rnacentral:lncRNA from 1 species
UUCAUGAGCUUUGAAAUCCAUUCUAAUAAAUUAAAUGACUAGACCACAUUUUCACAUAAUAAGUAGGAGCAAAGAAGAAGGUUCCAAAAGGAAGCUGACAAAAUCCAUCAACAUUUAACCAACUCACAACUUGCUAUACUAAUAUCACACACAUACCAACAACACUUUAUCAGGGUCCAGCAAUGUGAAUUAAAUUAACCUACACACCCUGUCCAAACUCAGGUAUUAUGAGAACAGUCUGUAGAAGCAUUCAUACUUCUAGAGAGAUGUGCCCGAAGAUUAGAAUUUGUUCGUUUCUUAUCUACAGGGAAAAAAAUAGUAGUUCUCAGCAUAACCUUGAAAUCAAUACUAUUCAACUGCCUUGUAGAAAACAGCAACCAGUAGUUAACAUGAACCAUCUAUAACUACCUGUCUUAGCAGUGUAUGUGCUGCUGAUCUAAAAACCGGCUCCCCCAAGCGGUAGAAAACUAGACGCCGGUAUCUCACCCCUCUAGAAUUAAUGACACAAAAAAGUUAGUAAUAUGGCAACGCUUUGCACCCACAAACUUAGCACAGAAGUGAGGGCAAAAGAAAUGAAGGUGAAACUGGUUUAGGGUAACAGACCUGGUAUUUAUCAGCUAAAAAGUAAAGGUCAAUGUUUUUGUCUAGGCCAAUUUGGGGAGACAAGAGACGGUACAUAUCGUAAAAUGUCGCCACCGGUUUACCAGAAUUGAUUUGGGUUCCAGGUUGUUCAUUGACUGUGACUUGUUGACUGCUUUUCUACAAGGAAAAAAAAAAAGGACAGUUCUUAGCAUAACCUUGAAAUCAAUAUCCAACAGCUUUAUAGAAAACAGCAACCAGUUCUUAACAUAAACCAUCAUCUAUACUUACCUGUCUUAGAAGUGUUGCUACUGCUGAUCUAAAAGCUGGCUCCCCAACAAUGUCUUUCAUAAGCGGUGUAAUAUUACACUUGGGUAUCUCACCUCUCUAGAACAAAUGACACAAAAAAGUUAGUAAUAUGGCAACGCUUCGCACCCACAGUGAGGGAAAAAGAAAUGAUGGUGAAACUGGUUUGGGGUAACAGACCUGGCAUUUUUUACCAAAAUAGUAAAGGUCAAUGGUUUUCUCUAUGCCAAUUUGGGGAGCCAGGAGAUGGAACAGCUGAUCAAAUGUCAACACCACUUUACUAGAAUUGAUUUGGGUUCUAGGUUGUUCAUUGACUGUGACUUGUAGAUUGCUUUUCUACAAGUAAAAAGGAAAUAACAGUUCUUAGCAUAACCUUGAAAUCAAUAUCCAACUGCUUUAUAGAAAAAUCAUGCACAACGCUGCAUAAACCAUCUACUCUACCUGUUCUUGCAUUUGUGCCAAUGAUGGUGAAACCAGCUGCUCCUCCAAAAUGUCUGUCAUAAGUGGGGAAAAAGUAGACACAAUGUCUGCCUGUUCAUCUCUCUAGAACAAAUGACACAAAAAGUUAGUAAUAUGGCAAAGCCUUGCACCACAAACUUCAAUAAUUUUUAACACAUAAGAGAUGGAAAAAGAAAUGAUGGUAAAACCGGUUUCUCGGAUAAAGGUUGAAUCUCAUCGACUUUGUCUUGGUCAUAUGGCAACAUGUUGAAUAAAACUUGAAGUUCAUUGACUGUGUCUGUGAUUUGUAGAUUACUCAUCUGUUGUGUUGUAAACUGUUCAUUGACUGGGACCUGACGAUUUUUAUUCUACAAGGAAAAAAAAAUAAAGUUCUCAACAUAAACAUGAAAUGAAUAUUCAACUGCCUUAUAGAAAAAUCAUCAGCAACAGUGCAUAAAACAUCUACUCUACCUGUUGUUCGUGCAGUUGCAUCGUUGCUGAAUAAACCAGCUGCAUUCCCACAAUGUCUGUCACACGCGCAAAAAACCUAGACUUGGGUAUUAUUUCAUCUCUCUAGAACAAAUGACACAAAAAAAGUUAGUAAUACAAUAAUGUAAUAUGGCAAAACCUUGCACUACAAACUUAAAUAAUAUUUAACACAGAAGAGAUGGAAAGAGAAAUGAUGGUAAAACCGGUUUGGGGAUAAGAGACCUUAUAUUUCUCGAAUAAAGCUUGAAUUUCAUCGACUUUGUCUUGGUCAAUAUGGGGAAACAAGAAAGGGAACAACCGGUCAUAUGGCACCACAGGUAUAGCAGGUAAACUUUCAUUGACGGUNNNNNNNNNNNNNNNNNNNNNNNNNNNNNNNNNNNNNNNNNNNNNNNNNNNNNNNNNNNNNNNNNNNNNNNNNNNNNNNNNNNNNNNNNNNNNNNNNNNNNNNNNNNNNNNNNNNNNNNNNNNNNNNAGUCUAAAACAUUUAAAACGUCCACAUAAUAAUUAAUAGAAUUCAAAUAAUGAUGCUUAGGGUUAGGGUAAAACGAAAAACACACACAAAAUGAAAUCUAAAGACAAUAAUAAACAUGAGCAUUGAAAUGUGUAGAACCAAAACAUAAAUUGAUAUCAAAUCCAAAAACAGAGAAGAAAUUAAACGCAGAUGACGUGAGGAUUAAGAAAUUAACUAUGGAUGUAGCGAGACUCAUGAUUAGAACUUCCUGUCAAGUUGUGGUGGCUGAAUUUAUCGAUGUAAAGAUAAACGGCGAGGUUUUUCACCUGCGUGUCAUCGAAGAUUUGUACGGACCUAUGAGGAUUAUGACAACUCAGAAACAAGGCCAGCAAGGAAGAUCUAUGGAUAAUGAUAGUUCGGAGGAUGAACGGAGAUUGAUGGCGGUGGUGGAUGAGCCAGAGAGAGAAUCGGAAGGCGAAAAUUUAUUAGCAUUAAACUCUAAUGUUAAUGUCCAUAAUAUUCCUAUUAAUGCUUAUAAAGUUGUGAAUACCUUUUUGUAAGCGUUUAACGUACCUGAGGAUAGGGAGGAAGGUUCAAAUCUUUCUAGUAAUUUUGUCCCUAUCCAAAAUUUAGAAAAUUUGAAUAAACAUGAUCAUUGAAAAACAAUAGCUACUGUAAGUUUGCCGUAUGUGUAGGCUAUUCCUCCUAAGCUACAAGAUUUUUUUUUAUUAAUAUUCAAAUUUAUUCUAGAAUUACUCUCCCCCUAUGUUGGUCUUAAAAAUGAUUUAGUUAUUAUGAAUAGAGAAGGAAAUCCCCCAAGUCUUGAAAUGAUGAUUUCUAUCAAUUGGCGAUUAAAAUGCAAGUCAAAACAAAAACAGGGAAUAUGACAAAUAACUAACAUACAUAAAUUUAAAACCAUACAUUGCUGAAGAUAGUACAAUUACGUCGUUAACUUGAUGUACCAUCAUAGUCUUUGGUCAUCUCGAGAUGUUCUUUAAAGUUUUUUGUUCUUAUAGUCCUCAUGCUUGCGGGGUUAAGGACUGUUAUAAUUUUAAAUCUCAAAUUAUUUUCUUAAGCAUUUUACUCUUACUGUCAUAAAAUAUUUCUAUCUUGAUUGAACACUACAAGAUAGUUUAAUAAUGUGAGUUCAAAAUGCGCUCUUCAAUGGGGAUUGGGGAUUCAGAAGAUAAAGGACUAGUGCACCAAGUAAGGAGUUUUCCCACCAAAAAUUCAAAUUCAAAUAGCAAGUGAAGAUGGGAGGGAACAAUUUUCAAAGAUUUUCACAGGACAAGUGUCCUACACGUGGCAAACAUGCAAAGUUCGAAAACAGUUACUCGAGUUUUCGAAUUUUCUUAUAAAUACAAUAAUCGUAGGCUGUUUUAGGAAGUUCCUUUCCAAUAGAGAAAACAUACCGCCUAAAAUAGAACCACAUUUUCACGCUAACAUACAAAAUGCAAAAAAAACUUCUCAUAUGGCUGUAAUUGAUGUAUGAAACUCAAUUUCUUUAUAAUGCAAUUUAACUUUUCUAGUUAUAGCAUUUUAGAUUGAUUUUACUCAAAAAGACGCUAAACAUUCUAGAAAUUCAAACCAAUCGUAAACCUAUCAACUGAAGAACCCAUUAAGGAUAUGAUCAAAAUCCUAAAUAAACCAAUUGUAAUCAGGACUUAAUUAAAAUGGUCAAGUUUAUUUUAUUCCAACAAACCUAUGGCACUUUUGCAGAAAUGAAUCCUCUCCAUUUAUUUUUCUCAUCUUUUACAAAUGUCCACAUGUGAUAUGUAACUCAAAGGCUUUAACAUAAAUGAAUCUGGUAAACAAGGAUGCAUAAUUUAGAAUUCAAUUAUGUAAGAUUAUUUGAAUAAUACAUAUGGUUAAUGAACUUCAAUAUCAAGUUCACAAAGUCAUGACAGAUACACCAAUCACCAAUCAGAUUCAUGAGCUUUGAAAUCCACAUUCUAAUAAAUUGCAUGACUAGACCACAUUUUCACAAAAUAAGUAGGAACAAAGAACAUGGUUCCAAAAGGAAGCUGACAAAAUCCAUCAACAUUUAACCAACUCACAACUUGCUAUAUUAAUAUCACACACAUACCAACACUUUAACAGGUCACACCCUGCCCAAACACAGGUAUUAUGAGAACAGUCUGUAGCAGCAUUCAUACUUCUAGAGAGAUGUGGCAGAAGAGCCUGUUUUGUUUCUUAUCUACAGGAAGAAAAAAAAUAGUAGUUCUUAGCAUAACCUUGAAAUCAAUACUAUUCAACUGCCUUAUAGAAAACAGCAACCAGUUCUUAACAUAAACCAUCUAUACCUACCUGUCUUAGCAGUAUGUCUCCUGCUAAUUUAAAAGCCGGCUUCCCCACAAUGCCUUUCAUAAGCGGUAUAACAUCAGACUUGGGUAUCUCACCUCUCUAGAACAAAUGACACAAAAAAGUUAGUAAUAUGGAAACGCUUUGCACCCACAAACUUAAAUAGUUUUUAGCACAGAAGUGAGGGAAAAAGAAAUAUUGGUGAUACUGUUUUGGGGCAACAGACCUUGUAUUUUUCACCUAAAACGUAAAGAUCAAUGGUUUUCUCUAUGCCAAUUUGGGGAGCCAAGAGAUGGAACAGCUGGUAAAAUGUCACCCCUGUGUCACUAGAAUUGAUUUGGGUUCCAGGUUGUUCAUUGACUUGUAGAUUGCUUUUCUACAAGGAAAAAAAAAACAGUUCUUAGCAUAACCAUGAAAUCAAUAUUCAACUGCCUUAUAGAAAAAUCAUGCAGCAACGCUGCAUAAACCAUCUACUCUAACUACCGGUUGUUUCACUUUUGCUGCUGCUGAUUUAAAUAUCUGCUCCCCCAAAAUGCCUGUCAUAACCGGUACAAAAGUAUCCUUAGGUAUUUCACCUCUCUAGAACAAAUUACACAAAAAAGUUAGUAAUAUGGCAAAGUCUUGCACCACAAAACUUAGAUAGCACUGAAGAGAGGAAAAAAGAAAUAUUGGGGCAACAGACCCUAUAUUGGUCGAAUAAAACUUUAAGUUCAAUGACUUUGUCUGGGUCAGUCAUAUAGGGUAGCAAGAAAGGAUACAGCUGGUCAAAUGGCAAAUCCAGGUCACUGGAAUCGAUCUGGGUUGUAAACUGUUCAUUGACUGGGACCUGACGAUUUUUAUUCUACAAGGAAAAAAAAUAAAGUUCUUAACAUAAACAUGAAAUGAAUAUUCAACUGCCUUAUAGAAAAAUCAUCAGCAACAGUGCAUAAAACAUCUACUCUACCUGUUGUUCGUGCAGUUGCAUCGUUGCUGAAUAAACCAACUGCAUCCCCACAAUGUCUGUCACACGCGCGAAAAACCUAGACUUGGGUAUUAUUUCAUCUCUCUAGAACAAAUGACACAAAAAAAGUUAGUAAUACAAUAAUGUAAUAUGGCAAAACCUUGCACUACAAACUUAAAUAAUUUUUAACACAGAAGAGAUGGAAAGAGAAAUGAUGGUAAAACCGGUUUGGGGGUAAGAGACCUUAUAUUUCUCGAAUAAAGCUUGAAUUUCAUCGACUUUGUCUUGGUCAAUAUGGGGAAACAAGAAAGGGAACAACCGGUCAUAUGGCACCACAGGUAUAGCAGGAAAACUUUCAUUGACGGUGUCUGUCGUCUGCUGCGCUGUAGAUGGGUCCAUAGUCUUCUAAACCAACUGCAGUCGCAGAUAUUAACAUAAAAGAAGCAUCUGAAGUUAAAUGUUGGCAUCAAUAUAUGCAUUUGGUUAAAGGCAUGAAUUCAUCUCAGCAUCAUUUGUUCAAAGUCUAAAACCUAUAAGCACGACAAGGACAGACACACACUGGCACAUCGAUACCGAUAAUAAUUUGAAAAAACGACAUGAUUAAAUGUAAUCAUAAGUGUCGGUGUUCGAAGACACAUGUUUGACAUCGGGGAAAGCCUAAUCCAAGAGUGUAAGUGCGCUUCGUAGUCUAAAACAUUUAAAACGUCCACAUAAUUAUUAAUAGAAUUCAAAUAAUGAUGGUUAGGGUUAGGGUAAAACGAAAAACGAAAAACGAAAAACACACACAAAAUGAAAUCAAUAGUCAAAAUCGAAAGACAAUAAUAAACAUGAGCAUUGAAAUGUGUAGAACCAAAACAUAAAUUGAUAUCAAAUCCAAAAACAGAGAAGAAAUUGAAGGCAUGAAAAAAUAUAGGAAAAGAACGAACGAAGUCACUCACAUAAAUUGAUAAGCCGAACGCGAUAAGGACCUUAGAAUUUGACACUAAAAAUUUGAAUUUUAAUCACAAGCAACUGUUGUUCUUAGUAGAAAUAUUGUUGGUGUAGCCUGCGAUUAAAUUCUUGUGGUAAAUUCAUAUGUACAUGGGGAAGUUAUUUUUAGGGUAAAUAGGGUUUUACCUCCCUGCAAAAUAGGCAAGUUUUGGAUUACCCCCUUAAAAUUUUUUUUUGUGAUUACCCCCUGUAAAAUGAAGAUUCCAUCAUUUACCCCCCUCAGUCGACAACAUGGAUGUUGACUGGACAAAAUUGAUGACGUGGGAUGCAUGUGUGGCUUUUCAUUCAUUUUUUAUUANNNNNNNNNNNNNNNNNNNNNNNNNNNNNNNNNNNNNNNNNNNNNNNNNNNNNNNNNNNNNNNNNNNNNNNNNNNNNNNNNNNNNNNNNNNAACUAAGCCAAAGUAACAAAAAAUUUAAACUUUCCAAAGAGUGAUGAAGAUUUGGGUUUGAAGAUGAUGAAUAAGUAAGUGAUGAAGAUUUAGGUGUUGAGUAUAUUGGUGUGUUGAUUGAUUUUCUUUUUCUAGAGAGGGGAUAACUUUUGUUUUUGUUGAUUUUUUUGGAGAGAAGGAUGAAAUUAUAGCAAUAUUGAAGAAGAUGAACCUUCAACCCCAAUUACUAUUGUUUUUUUCUCUUUUUUUUUCAGUUUUUUUUAAUUAAAAAAAUAAUAAUUAUACAUUCAUUAAUGAAUUGACAAUAAAAAAAUAAAUAUAAAAUAAAUUAAUUCCACUUGUACGUGCCACGUCAUCAAUUUUGUCCAGUCAGCAUCCAUGUUAUCGACUGAGGGGGGUAAAUGAUGGAAUCUUCAUUUUACAGGGGGUAAUCACAAAAAAAAAAUUGCAGGGGGGUAACGCAAAACUGACCUAUUUUGUAGGGGGGUAAAAUCCUAUUUACCCUUAUUUUUAUUUAAAAACAAAUUUUUAUUUAUUUUUAAUUAAUAAAUAUAAAUAACUACCUUUUUGUGAGAGGAACAAAAAAAAUUGCAUCUAAAUAAAUGCAUAUAAGUUUUGUCCAUUUUUUAUUACUUUUAUAUAUAUCUUUUAAAAUUUAAAAAUUUCUAAAAUUUUAUAAAUAAUUUUUUUAUAUAGUAUUCUAUGUUUGAAAAAAUUAUUCACAAAUUUAAGAGUUUAAGGAUAAGAAAACAAUUUUUAAAAUUUUGAAAAAUAGAAGGACUAUAAUUGCUUGCAUAAAAAUUCUGUAGUGACCAAACCAUGUGACUUUUGUUUAUAGGGAGCAAAAAUAAAAUUUUAUAAGGAUAAAAAAUAUAUUUAACCCUAUUAGCAAGAAAAAAAAACAUAAACAAGAGAUAGAAAACAGAAUAUCAUAGUUUAGUACGGGUAGCUUAAUUGGUAGAUACUAAAGAUAUUAUUGAAGGGCUAGUUUUGAAUCGUAAAUUCUCCACAUUUAUAGUCUAUGAGUCUAACCAUUAAAUUACUGAAUAAAAAAAAUUAAUGUUUAAUCUGUGAUAAGAUAUAAUCGGGAUACCAAUUAUCAUAUUAUGUGUAUAGUGCAUACAUGAUAACAAUAUUUCAAAACAAAAAAUGGGUGAUUUCACAACAAAAAAUGUCCUAAAACCAGCUCCCCAGAGAUGGAUGAAUGGAGAAGAGAGGUUAGAGAGAAGUGAAGAUGAAGUUUCUCUUAGAAAAUAAAACUACGGCCGACGAUCAGCCAUCAGGUUGAACCCACCAAUAGUUUAUCGUAAAGAACAACGACAAACUCACAACCAUUUUUGGCCAAUCAGGUUGAAUUCAAUCACAAAGGACUAAACCAGAUUAAAGGAUGACGACGGUCGCGAAUCGAUUGAUGUGAAAAUACUUUCAAAAUAUGAAUGGAUAGAUUAGAAAAAACCUAAUUCAAUAUGAAUAUACCAAUAAAUAUAUGAGCUUUAACAUGAUUAUUAAUAAUUUUCAUAACUCACAAUUUUUUUUUUUUAAUUCUAUUAAAAUGAUAUGAUAUUUUAUAAUUGAUUGAUUUAUUCUUAGUAAAAAUGCGGGUAACGGAUAUAUGUGCUUAAGUACCCAGAGGGUACGAGCACAUAUACAAAGGUUGUUACCCAUGCGGGUAUGAGACCAGAUCCAAAUAUUUUUUUAUUUAUUUUUUAAAAUUGCGCAUACGAGAAUGACGACUAUAGUACCUUACUCAUACUCUACUCAUUAUCAUCCCUACACGAUUCCCAACUUGUUAUAUGUCCUUCCUCAAGUUUGAAAGACAAAGUGGGAAAUUGAACAAUGCUCGGAGCAAAACAUUGCUCAUAAUGUGCUAUGAAGCAUAGACACCUCGAAUUAUGCAUGUAUCAAUAUCAGACAUGCAUAGGUGUUUUACACUAAUACAACACUGACAUUUACGAUUAUUUAAAUUAUGUUUGUUUUUUAAAUGUUGUCGGCUUCAAAUGAAUUCGAACAUGGAAACCGUGACAUCACCCCUUCCUCCAUACACCAUACGCUCGUAUCGUGAUUAAGAGUGUGAGGGAAAAAAAAUAAAGGAAAGAAAGAAGAAAGGUGACAUAGAAAAAUAGCAAGUCACAAUUUAUUCACAAAAUGGACGUGUGACUUUAUUUACUUCCAUGAGAUUGUAUCCUCAUAAUAGAUGAAGAUGUAAGCUUUUUUUGUUAACAAGUCAUACACUGCGUUAACGGCAUCGAUGAUAUGUUGUAGAGAAAAAUGAAUUAUUAGAAGCUAAUAUCCAAAAUCUCGAUUGGGUCAAAUUAUCAAGCUGGUGACCAAAAGAGUAAUUUGCAAUAUUAACAAUCUGUCCAAUUUUCUCUUCAAGUUGUGGAAACUCUGGUUGAGCAGCUAGUUUCCACCGUUUAUCAAAUGCAAGCCAACAAGAUGUUGCAUGAUGAUGUACAACAUGUUCCAGUAUUCGAGGUAGGUGAGUCCGUUAAAACAGUGUUACUUUAUUAUGAGAUCAAUGCAGCCAUUUUAGGUGAAGACAAUUUGAUGUCGCCAACCACUUAUGAAAAAAAACAUUUUGAUACUCUAGAAGUUUGUUGACUAUUACUAAUAUACUCCCUUCGUCUAAAAAUAUAAGCAAAAACUAGUUAACAAAAUUUGAUGUAUUUGGUGUAAAAUUUAGUCCAGAUACAUUAACUUUUGUUGACUCUCUUUUGCUUAUAUUUUGAAAAGGAGGGAGUACAAUCAUUUAAUAACAUGUUAAUUUUAUAUAUUUUAUUAUUUUUUUAAAAAAAUGUUUGUAUAGCACCAAUACACAGCAAAACUUUAUUAUUUGAGAAUGUUGUGGCACCUUCCAGUUGCUUAAAAAUCUGGCACUAUUUUUUAAAAUAAAUAAUAAUAUUUAUUAAUGUUUUAUUUAAGUUCACGUGAACUUAGCUCAAUAGGUAAGAACAUCGCAUAUAUUAUAGGGAAGUUGAUGCCAACCACCGGGCUACUGCGCGCGAUAUGAUACGUUGGGGAAGCAAAUGAUAUAUUUACAGACUUUAAUAUUCAUACUAUAUAAAAAUACAUAUAUUGAUUGAAAAAAAAUGAGGGGUGUUGCGCACCUCCCUGCUCAUAAGAAAAUCCGCCCCUGACCGGACAUCAAAGCCACAGUUUCACCUUGGUGUGUUCUUUUCUCACUCUUAUUUUAUACAUGUUGCUUGUACCAAAAGAAAUUAAGCCCGUGUUUCAGUCUUAAGGAAACGGAGAUACUCAUACAAGAGAUGUGGGAUAUAUGUUGGUAUAAGCAAGAACAUGACAAUGAAAUGAAUUUAGAAAAUUGCUGAAAAAAAUAACAACAUUGAGAGUGCGUUUGAUCUGCUAAAAAACAGGAGACUGGACUGGACAACUUUUGUUGUACCCUGUUUGAUUUGAAACUGACUUGAGACUGGACAAAUUAGGUAGCAAGGGACAGGACAAAAACAAAAUUUUUUGUCCCUCACUGAACCACAAUACAACUUUUUGUCCAUAGUACAACUAUAAAAAAUACGAAAAUACUCAUUUUGUUUUCGAAUAUAAAAUAUUAUCGACUUAUAUCUCUCCGGUACAGAUUUGUCAUGUCCUGUAUUAUCUUGUUCCGUCCCGUAUUAUUUUGUUCAGUCCUUGCUAUUUUACGAAUCAAACGCACCCUGAAUCCUGAAUGUGAAAUGUGAAUUUUACUCAUUUUCAGCUCCAAUUCCAAGUUUAGAACACUUCUCUUUUAGAAAUACUCUGUAGUGUGUUUUAAUUCUAGAAAGAAGGCAUCAGAUCAACUUUUUGCAUGGUGGGCACAGAUAUGGUAAAACUACAAAAGCAAUGGUUUUAUUUGUCACGGUGACCCAAAAUUCAAAUAUCACAACAAUGCAAGAUGAAAUUGCAUACUCGUUGAAUAUGAAAUUCGAUGAAGUUGGAAGGGCCAGAAGAAUAUUCUCAACAAUAGAAAGUAUGAAUCAUCCAAUUCUAAUGAAUUUUUAAGAUGUUUGAGCAAAAUUCGACCCAAAGGUUGUAUGCAUUAAUUCCUUGUAAUAAUAACCGUUGCGAGAUCGUUUUGACCACAUGUUGCAGACAAAAUUGUGACUUGAUGUACUGUCAAAAGGAUAUUUAACUUGGUCCCUUAUCUACAAAUGAAUCUUGGACUUUGUUCCAAAAAAGUUCAGGUAUUCACUGUGAUGAGUACUCGUCAUUUGACCUAUUGAAUGUCGGGUGUGAAGUUGCUUUUCAAUGUGAAGGCUUAUAUAGAACGGUUAAAGAUGUGCGACCUACCAAUUGAGGAAUGGAAAACAACACUACAUAAUCUGAAACUUUCAAUGGCCAAAUGAAAAAAAUUCUUAGUUUUAGAGGUUUUCUCUUACAGGUUUUCUCUCUAUCAAACUUUAUCUCUAGGGACAUUCAGGGAAUGGAAUGGAUUCUCUCCCAUGGGCCAAAAAACUGGAGGAAAUAAUGUUGAUAAAUCUCAACCCUUCAUUUCUUUCAAUGAAAAAUCAAUAAUCAGGAUUACAAGCACAUAAAAUAUUUUGUCUCUUCUCCCUAGGCUUCAUCUUCUUCAAGACUUCAACAAACAUUAAUAACCAUUUUCACCAUUUUCAGUUCUUCAAUCAUCGUCAUAAUCACCCCAAAAUUCACAAUUGCAUAACCAAACAUAAAUUUAUUAGAGAAUGAGAUAGGUUAUGGAACUUGUAAAAAUUGAGUUUUCAUUAAUUGCAUGAAGAAUUGCACAGUUUUCAAAAAUUGGGUUUUUCCAUUAAAUGUUUGUAAAAAUUAAACAGAAAAUGUUCAUGGAACUUGUAACAAAAUUUAAGGAAGAAAAUUACAUUUUGAUUUUAAAUGUUCAUAUGUAUCAGAAUGGCAAUAAUAGAAAUAAAAAUCAAUUAGUUAGAGCUAGGAAGAAAUAAGAAAGAAUGGACAAAACCCCUUCUAUCCUAGCAUCUGCCAUUGCAGAAUCUCUCCACCAUCAGUGGAAAAUGUGUUGUUACAAAGAUCCAACCGCACAAACAGUGGGAGGAAUUGCCAUUGCCGCCAUGGGAGUGAAGAAAGGUCAGGAAAGAGAAGACAAGUGGGACCCAAAAUGACAUAGUAUGACAUUAGACUUUAGGUUUUAGUCACAGCCAUUAAUAUUACAUUAAAAGAAAUAGAGGGAUGAGAUUACACAUUAUUUCCUCCAGUUGUUGGUUCACGGGAGAGAAUCCACUCCCGGACAUUCAAGACCUUCAUGGAUGACGGAGGACUGCACAAUGGAGUCCAAAUUUUACCCUCUCUUCUAAAUGCAAUUGAAGCAUUAAGGCUUUUUAUUAUUGAGUGUAUGAAAUUGAAGAAUCAAUGAGUUUGGCCAAUCUUUUACAAAAUGAAAUCAUCUGACAUAAGGCAUCUGAGAAAAUGUUACGGCAAAGACAUGACUCAACAUGAAAGUAAUUUUGGAAUUAACUCAGAGUACAUAAAUGGAGGUCAGUUUUUUUUUUUUUUUGAAGUGUCUAAUUUGUCUGGAAANNNNNNNNNNNNNNNNNNNNNNNNNNNUUAUGUUUGUCAAAAAAAAAAAAAAACUCAAAGGCUUAUGUGAUAUGUAACUCAAAGGCUUACAUAAACGAAUCCGGUAAACAUGGAUGCAUGAUUUAUGUUAGAUUAUUUGAAUACUACAACAAUCACCAAUCAGAUUCAUGAGUUUUGAAAUCCAUUCUAAUUCUAAUAAACUGCAUGACUAGACUACAUACCAACGCUAACAGGUACACACCCUGCCCAAACACAGGUAUUAUGAGAGAAAGGUCUGUAGCAGCAUUCAUACUUCUAGAGAGAUGUGGCACAAAA